rnacentral:rRNA from 1 species
UACAGAGGGGGCAAGCGUUGUUCGGAAUUACUGGGCUUAAAGGGUUUGUAGGCGGCCUUGUAAGUCAGGUGUGAAAUCCCUCGGCUCAACCGAGGAAUAGCGCUUGAUACUGCACGGCUUGAGGGAGACAGGGGUAAGCGGAACUGAUGGUGGAGCGGUGAAAUGCGUUGAUAUCAUCAGGAACACCGGUGGCGAAAGCGGCUUACUGGGUCUCUUCUGACGCUGAGGAACGAAAGCUAGGGGAGCGAACGGG